UGACUUUUAUCCUACAUGGAUAACUGUGGUAAUUCUGGAGCUAAUACAUGCAUAAAAAGAUGUUUCUUUAUUGAAACAUUGCGUAUAUUAGUAUUAAAACCAAGCAUUCUUCGGAAUGUUUUGUGUUGAAACUGAAUAUAUCUGCUGAUCGUAUGGUCUUGUACCGACGACAUGUCAUUCAAGUGUCUGAUCUAUCAACUUUCUAUAUAAGUAUAUAGUACUUAUAUGGUUUUGACGGAUAACGGGGUAUUAGGGUACGACUCCGGAGAAAAUGCCUGAGAAACGGCGUUUACAUCCAAGGAAGGCAGCAGGCGCGAAAAUUACCCACUCUCAGUACGAGGAGGUAGUGACGAGAAAUGACAAGAUCUAUUCCUUCGGGGAUGGAUCAUUGGAAUGGUUUGAUUUUAAAAUCAUUAAAGAGUAUCAAUGAGAGGGCAAGUCUGGUGCCAGCAGCCGCGGUAAUUCCAGCU
rnacentral:rRNA from 1 species